CAGAUUACAUUAGGUUGCUGCAUCAGGGCUGGAGACACUUGAACGGAGACAAACACACAGGCACGCACGCAUGCAUGCACAUGCAAGGGAUGUGACAAAUGGACAAUUUUGCUAAACAUUUAAACAUCAUAACAUUCAGAAAAAAAACAUAAAAUUCCACAUCAAUUCACAAUUCAGAAUAAUGGUCCUAUUACGCAUGACCGCUAGGGCCGGGCAAUGAAGUUAUAUCUACCGCAGUCAUAUACCCUUGAAAGCGUCUCGGCUACGGAAUGUUUGUUGGUCUGUAAGGGUACACUAUAGCUUUUCAAACGCCGACACAAAACCUUCUCUGGAGAUAGUUUCGAAGCGCCACUGAAUGGGCAUUUUACUUGUCUGUAUAGGAAUGCCCCAUCUGAACCGGGAUCGACGUCCAUCACUAGACCCAAUCAUCACAGCUGGAAGCCUGUACAGUACUCAAUGCCCACUGAUCAGAACUGCACACUACAUUGGAUUUGUGUGAGGUGACUGACUGAGGAGGCAGGUGGUCUACAGCAGGGAGCCUGCAUAGGAGUGGAGAGAAGAGGAGAAGAGAGGACAGAAGAGGAGAGAUGAGAUGAAAGGGGAGAGGACAUAGUUUGAAGAGGAGAGGAGAGGAGAGGUGAUGAAAGAGGAGACGGUGGUUUGAACAUGAUUUUGGUUAGUAGAGCCUUCCUGGUUGGAGCUCAAAUGUGCACACAGAGCUAUCAUCGACUAAACACAAACUGUACGACUUGAUCUAGACAGCGUGUUUCUUUGUCUCCGUUUUAUUAUUAUUUUUAUUAUUAGGGGUUCAGCAACGAAGCUGGUGAAACCCUAUUGUAUUUGUUGUCGUUAAUUAUUAUUUUCCUUCUGCUGAUUUAGUGAAAAAUACAAAUUCCUGUGAGAUGGUAAGGGUGCAACUUUGCAAGAUUGUAAACGGUCAAGGGCCACACCCUCUCAUGCAUAGCCAUGCAUAUUGGCCACAUGGUGGCGCUAUAACAAGCAAUUGAAAAUGCUAACUUCGAAAGGUCACGCUCACCCCGUCCGAUACAUAUACAGUUGAAGUCGGA
rnacentral:lncRNA from 1 species